ensembl:lncRNA
CGCACUGCGAAGCUCAGAAGAGUGUUUUCACAGCCAGAGUGGCUCCUGCGGGUCCCACCGCUGCAUGCAGACAGAGAACACGGUGCCUCCCCAAAGAGGAGCGUGUCCUCAGCCAUGCUGCUCAAACACCUCAGUGAGGACAUGGCACAGAGGAGCCCAACGCGUUCAGUUGCAUUCAGGCCCCUCAGCAUGGCUCUGGGGGAAGGAGGAGACGUGGCUGUGCUGCAGUGCGAGCAGUGCCCAAAGAUUUAGGUUAUGGGAAUGUUGGUUCCAGAGGCAGUGUGAUUCAUGCUGAAACCAUCCGGUGCCAUCUGAUGCACACGUCCACCCAAAGGUAGAGGCAGUGCUGUGCGCUGCGAGCUGCUCCACUCUGAGUUCUCAUUGCAGAACAACUACAACGGCAGAGAACAAGAAAUGGCUGCAUUCUGCCAAAGAGGAUGACUUGCUGUUUAUGGAAAGCACUCGAGUGCAGGAGAGAUCGUGCUACAGUUAAACAGACAAUGCUUAAAGGGCCAUUGCCCACGCUUGGUUUAACAGAGCCUUUCUCACUGAUUUCCAAGAAGGAAGGUGUUCUGCAUCUCUGCUGCUGGGCACCACAUCACAAAUGGAUGCUGGAAGGCAAACUAGUGCUACAUUCAGUGGGAUGGAGAAGAUGACUCUGCACUUCAGUUUUUGUGAGAACUGAGAAACUCACUUUUGGUGUAAAUGCGGCACACGUCCCCUUGGUAGCCCAGCACCAUAGCACAUGCAAGAACAUGCUCCUUGUACAUGGAACAGUGGCUGACAGGUUACUGACUGAGCUGAGACAUCCACCAGUGGUACAGCCAAGCAAUGUGACCACUGUGUGCUUGGGAGAUCUCUACUGCUCUUGGAGAGUAGUGGGGGUGGUACUGAAACUUGCUUGCAGGUGAGAGAUCAGUUGGGUUAGGAAGCAGCUGCUCCCAUCUGCUCAUCCACAACCUGCCCCGGUCACCAGGCAGGCUGCUGGCCUUCACCACAUCCCUCUUCAUGUCCAACCACACGCCUCGUGGCUGCAGAGCUUCCACAGCUCUCAGUGAGACACUGCAUAAGCAUGAAGUGUUGAGGGUGAGCACUGCAGAGCAUUGAGUUCC